UAAAAACCCACAUGCGGUCCACCC
rnacentral:siRNA from 1 species